rnacentral:rRNA from 1 species
UGGUGCCAGCAGCCGCGGUAAUUCCAGCUCCAAUAGCGUAUAUUAAAGUUGUUGCAGUUAAAAAGCUCGUAGUUGAAUUUCGGAACCGAUGGAUCGGUCAUGCCAAUCGGUGUGUACUGGUUUGAUUGGUUCUCAUCUUCUAAGGAACCGUGAUGUCAUUAAUUUGGUGUCGCGAGAAAUUAGGACUGUUACCUUGAAAAAAUUAGAGUGUUUAAAGCAAGCUCACGCUUGAAUACAUUAGCAUGGAAUAAUGAAAUAGGACAUUGUAUUCUAUUUUGUUGGUUUCUAGGAUCGAUGUAAUGAUUAAUAGGGAUAGUUGGGGGCAUUAGUAUUCAAUUGUCAGAGGUGAAAUUCUUGGAUUUAUUGAAGACUAACUACUGCGAAAGCAUUUGCCAAGGAUGUUUUCAUUAAUCAAGAACGAAAGUUAGGGGAUCGAAGACGAUCAGAUACCGUCGUAGUCUUAACCAUAAACUAUGCCGACUAGGGAUCGGAUGAUGUUAAUUUUUUAAUGACUCA